ACUGUGCCCUUUCCCUCUUGACUUUUUAGUAGUUGUGGGUAAAUAUUGAUUUGCCCCCGGUUUACCUUCUCCUGGACUAGCCAUUUGCAGACUAAGGAACUGGUCUCUGUAAAGACUUGAUUUUUGUGUUACUUUCCGGCCAUUUCGUCCCCCACCCUCUCCUUCCCUCCAAGUGGCAUUGUAAAACUCACAGUGACAAAGAGACAGGGUAGGGUUCGAGGCCUCAGUUCCUGGGGACUUGAGGGCGGUUUUACAUACGGGUCAGACACGGCUGGAGGCCAAGGUCAAGUUGAAAGUUGCAGUCUAGUCAGCGUGAGAGAACUGCCAUGCAAGCCUGGAGACCAAGGCAGCUGUGCUGUGGCUACGAAAGGCCCACCACCCAUCUCCGCUCA
ensembl:misc_RNA